CAUGCUCAUUUGCUGCCACGGAGUUUGCAGUUGUUUCAGUUUGUAUACUCUUCCAUCAUCUUCUUCCUUGUCGAAAUAUAAUUAUCCUUUAUUAUUAUAAUAUAUUACAUCUUUGAUCGUAAAAUAAACAAAAAGGAGAGGUGGGUAUUUGAGAUUCCCAACUCCAAAAAGUUACAGGCACAAAACCAGUUCCAAAAGAAACAAACCAGCUCCAAAAGAAACCAUUUUUUUUUUUUUCUUUUUAAAUAAAAACCAUUACCCACCAUCCACUGACCCACAUUACAUACCUACCCCACCAUUAACCCCCCCAUUCACCGGUGAAUAUUUAUUUCAGCUCUAAGCUUUUCAUUCCCUUUGUUGGGAUCUACUAUUUUUCUUGAUGGGGUUAAAGGGAGGCAUUAGCUCUUUGCCUCUGCUUUUUUUUCUUCUUUUUGUUCUUUUUCUUAAUGGUGGUGGUGGUGUUAGUGGAUUGAACAUUUGGCCAUUGCCAGCAUCAGUGAGCAAUGGACAGCAGAGUCUGGUAUUGAGCAGUGAUUUCCAUCUGAAUACCCAGUACCCUGAUUCUUCUUCCAUUCUCAGUGGUGCUUUCUCUAGGCUUGUGGAUAUCAUUCGUAUUUCACAUGUUGUGGAAGGAAAUGUCAGCCUUGUUGAUCCUUCUCUCAUUCUUCAGGGUAUCAAUGUUGUCAUCUCCUCCAACGAUGAACAGUUACAAUAUGGCAUAGAUGAGUCUUACAAGUUAUCGAUCCCUUCGCCGGAUUCACAGCCACUUUAUGCAUAUCUUGAGGCAAAGACAGUUUAUGGUGCCUUACAUGGACUGCAGACAUUCAGCCAAUUAUGCCAAUUUAAUUUCACCACCAAGGUUAUCGAAGUUCAUUUGGUACCAUGGACCAUUGUGGAUGAGCCAAGAUUCUCAUAUCGAGGGCUUUUAAUUGAUACAUCUCGACACUAUCUGCCAUUGCCUGUGAUAAAGAAAGUGAUCGAUUCUAUGGCCUAUUCAAAGCUGAAUGUGUUGCAUUGGCACAUUGUAGAUACACAGUCUUUUCCUUUAGAGAUACCUUCAUAUCCAAAACUUUGGGAUGGUGCUUAUUCAGAAUCAGAAAGAUAUACAGUAGAAGAUGCUGAAGAAAUUGUGAGCUAUGCUCAAAGACGAGGGAUUAAUGUAUUGGCUGAAAUUGAUGUUCCAGGACAUGCUCAAUCAUGGGGUGUUGGCUAUCCAUCUCUAUUGCCAGCAAGUGCUUGUACGCAACCACUCGACGUUAGCAGAGAGUUCACUUUUGAAGUAAUUGAUGGAAUUCUUUCAGAUUUCAGCAAGAUCUUUAAGUUCAAAUUUGUUCAUUUGGGAGGUGACGAAGUUGAUACAAGUUGUUGGGCAUCAACUGCUCGUGUAAGACGAUGGUUAGUAUCGCGUCGCUUGAAUCAGUCCGAAGCCUAUCAAUACUUUGUUUUGCGAGCACAAAAUAUAGCUUUGUCUCAUGGAUUUGAAAUUGUUAACUGGGAAGAGACUUUUAAUAACUUUGGCAAUAAAUUGAGCCAAAAGACGGUGGUGCACAACUGGCUUGGAGACGGUGUGGCACAGAAAGUUACCGCAGCUGGGUUAAGGUGCAUUGUAAGCAACCAGGAUAAAUGGUAUUUGGACCACUUAGAUGUAACAUGGCAACAAUUCUAUCUGAAUGAACCACUCACAAAUAUCACAGACCCCACACAGCAAAAACUAGUUAUUGGUGGAGAGGUAUGCAUGUGGGGUGAAACCGUUGAUGCAUCAGACAUUGAACAAACCAUAUGGCCUCGUGCUGCAGCAGCUGCAGAGCGGCUGUGGACACCUUACGACAGGCUGGCUAAAGAUACAAGCAAAGUUACUGGAAGGCUAGCACAUUUCAGGUGUCUACUGAAUCAAAGAGGAGUUGCUGCUGCUCCAUUAGCUGGACGAGGAAGAGGUGCCCCUGAAGAGCCUGGCUCUUGCUAUGUGCAAAAGUAAGCUGCAGAAAAUCUCUAGCUAGUUCUUGGUCGGCGUGCAGAUCAUUAAAAAUUCAUACCAUAUGAAUUUGAAAUGACAAGGAAAUAAAGACAGGCUUCUGAUAAAAAUCAGCAGGCCACGAGUCGGCAGAAGAAACCGCUUGUACUACAGCUCCGCUUACGCGUUUUGCAUCUAGAAAAGCUUCUACACUCCAUGGCAACGCAUUCAAAUAGCUUUAUGUAAAGCAAUUUUUUAAUGUACAAAUUAUUUCAGUAUUUAAUAGAUAUUGUAUUAUUUAAACAAAUAUUGUACAUACAUAUUAAAAUUAUUCUAAAUUCUUUAACUUGCUAAA